rnacentral:rRNA from 1 species
AAUGAACGCUGGCGGCAUGCCUAACACAUGCACGUCGAACGAAGGCUUCGGCCUUAGUGGCGCACGGGUGCGUAACGCGUGGGAAUCUGCCCCUUGGUUCGGAAUAACAGUUAGAAAUGACUGCUAAUACCGGAUGAUGACGUAAGUCCAAAGAUUUAUCGCCGAGGGAUGAGCCCGCGUAGGAUUAGCUAGUUGGUGUGGUAAGAGCGCACCAAGGCGACGAUCCUUAGCUGGUCUGAGAGGAUGAUCAGCCACACUGGGACUGAGACACGGCCCAGACUCCUACGGGAGGCAGCAGUGGGGAAUAUUGGACAAUGGGCGAAAGCCUGAUCCAGCAAUGCCGCGUGAGUGAUGAAGGCCUUAGGGUUGUAAAGCUCUUUUACCCGGGAUGAUAAUGACAGUACCGGGAGAAUAAGCUCCGGCUAACUCCGUG